GACAGAGGCCUCGAGCGUUAGGCGGAAUCACUGGGCUUAAAGCGUGUGUAGGCGGAUCGUUAAGUGCCUUGUGAAAUCCCACGGCUUAACUGUGGAACGGCUGGGCAUACUGGCGGUCUUGAGCCAUCUAGGGGAGACUGGAAUUCCUGGUGUAGCGGUGAAAUGCGCAGAUAUCAGGAGGAACACCGGUGGCGAAGGCGGGUCUCUGGUACGUGACUGACGCUGAGACGCGAAAGCGUGGGGAGCAAACAGG
rnacentral:rRNA from 1 species